rnacentral:rRNA from 1 species
GAUCAUGGCUCAGGAUGAACGCUGGCGGCGUGCCUAAUACAUGCAAGUCGAACGAGGUAGCAAUACCGAGUGGCGAACGGGUGGGUAACACGUAGGUAACCUGCCCUUAAGCUUGGGAUACCCAGAGGAAACUUGGCUAAUACCGGAUAACAACAGAGAAGGCAUCUUCUUUGCUUGAAAGGCCCUUCAAGGGUCACUUAAGGAUGGACCUGCGGCGCAUUAGCUAGUUGGUGAGAUAACAGCCCACCAAGGCGAGGAUGCGUAGCCGAACUGAGAGGUUGAUCGGCCACGUUGGAACUGAGACACGGUCCAAACUCCUACGGGAGGCAGCAGUAAGGAGUUUUCGGCAAUGGGGGAAACCCUGACCGAGCAACGCCGCGUGAGCGAUGACGGUCCUUUGGAUUUGUAAAGCUCUGUUGUAAGCCAUGAAUGACAGCUUGAGGAAAUGCAAGUUGUUUGACGACAGCUUACCAGAAAGCCACGGCUAACUACGUGCCAGCCGCAGC